CGAGAGGGUGACCCAGCCUGAUUGGCAGGGAACUGAAAAGUGACUGGAGAAAGGCGGGAUUUGGGAGGAGGAACCUAAAAGGAGGCGGGGCCGGUGAGAAGCCUGGCUUGGAAAAUUGCACAGGGCUAAGCAAGACUUGGGGGAGGAAGGAAAAGAAGUAAAACUAGAGAAAAGAUGGACUUGCUCUGGGGAACGAUGAAAACGCCAGGAAGUGGAGAGGCUUAGACGAAAGGGAAAAGGAAGACACUAAUGUCAUCUCAGAAAUAUCUCCUCCCCAACCCGACACACUCCAGUGCUGCUUGGACUUGAAGUUGAUGGAAAACUCUACAUUUAUGCCAGUUUCCAAGAAGAAAACUAAAGUCAGACUUGGCAGCACAGGUAAGUUUCUGCUUUAUUCAGUUUAAAGCUGCUUCUGUUUUGUUUUAUGAGGAUGGGAGGAGGGAUGUGACAUUUCCCUAUACAAAAUGCACAAGAGAUUAGAGACUACUGUUUUUAUAAAUCCUUUUAGUUCUCACUUUUUUUUUUUUUUUUUUUUUUUUUUUUUUUUUUUUUUUUUUUUUUUUUUU
rnacentral:lncRNA from 1 species